GUGUGAUCUAGCCCCAAAACCAACCUAGACACACUGGUUAUCCAGCUCUCUCAACCCAUAAUCAAGAGUGUUCAUGACCAAUACUCACCAAACCUUUUUUGCCUCAGAACCUUUGAAUAUUGUGCUCAUUCUAAUUCUAGAUCUUCUUCCCACCACCACCAGCACAUGCACACACACACACUCAGCACCAUUCCCUCUGCCAAAGCCUUCACAUAAUUUGGGUCCUCAGAAGUCUUUUCUAAGUCAUUGCCUAAAUUACUCCUAGCCCAUCCAAACCCCCAUCCAAGCUCCCAUCCAAGCCUCUGCUGCUUCUUCAUCUCCACCCUUGUUUCCUUCAGGGCACUCAUCACAUGUAAGUCUCCAAUGGCUUCCCAGUGCCUGACAUAGUCCCUGACACCUGGAGGGUCCUCAAUGAAAUGUUGUGGGACAAAUGAGCUAAGGAAUGAAGAUUUCUCUGGGCUUCAGCAGUCAACUAGCCAACAAUGGAAGAGAGAGAAUAUUCUCUGUGGAGGAAGAUUUCUUGUGGACAAAACUUGGAUAUUGUACACAUCAUUACUACCCAAAUUCUCUCAGCCAAAAUUCUGUUGUAUGGCCAUCCAUAGCCACAAGAGAUACUGGGAUAUGUAGCUCUGGUUGUGUUUCUAGAAAGAAUAAGAAGUUUUGAUGACGUUGUCACAGUUGGUUUAUGAAUACUUUUACAUUGUGGUCAACUUUGCUUCUACAAACUCAUAAUUGCUUAGAAUCAGGUGAUAAAUGUUCAAAAAUAAGGGCCUCCUAUAAACCUUAGAAAAUAAAUAAUGGUCUAGUAAUCAGUUACAAACUAAACUGUACUGGAGGUGAACAUUUUUCUUUUUCAUGUUGUAAGCAAA
rnacentral:lncRNA from 1 species